rnacentral:rRNA from 1 species
CAGCCGCCACGGUAAUACGGACCGUGCGAACGUUAUUCGGAAUUACUGGGCUUAAAGCGCGUGUAGGCGGGCCGCCACGUCGGUUGCUGAGAUCCCCCGGCUCAACCGGGGAAGUGGCAUCGAUACGAGCGGCCUUGAGGGGGGUAGGGGGAUCUGGAACUUCCGGUGGAGCGGUGAAAUGCGUUGAGAUCGGAAGGAACGCCCGUGGCGAAAGCGAGGUCCUGGACCCUUUCUGACGCUGAGACGCGAAAGCCAGGGGAGCGAACGGGAUUAGAUACCCCCGUAGUCCCUGUCUCUUAUA